rnacentral:rRNA from 1 species
AGAAUGAACGCUGGCGGCAUGCCUAACACAUGCAAGUCGAACGAAGCCUUCGGGCUUAGUGGCGCACGGGUGCGUAACGCGUGGGAAUCUGCCCUUGGGUUCGGAAUAACAGCGAGAAAUUGCUGCUAAUACCGGAUGAUGACGUAAGUCCAAAGAUUUAUCGCCCAAGGAUGAGCCCGCGUAGGAUUAGCUAGUUGGUGAGGUAAAGGCUCACCAAGGCGACGAUCCUUAGCUGGUCUGAGAGGAUGAUCAGCCACACUGGGACUGAGACACGGCCCAGACUCCUACGGGAGGCAGCAGUGGGGAAUAUUGGACAAUGGGCGAAAGCCUGAUCCAGCAAUGCCGCGUGAGUGAUGAAGGCCUUAGGGUUGUAAAGCUCUUUUACCCGGAUGAUAAUGACAGUACCGGAGAAUAAGCUCCGGCUAACUCCGCGCCAGCAGCCGC